CCUACGGGAGGCAGCAGUGAGGAAUAUUGGUCAAUGGGCGGAAGCCUGAACCAGCCAAGUAGCGUGCGGGAUGGAGGCCCUCCGGGUCGUAAACCGCUUUUGCACGGGGAUAACACCCUCCACUUGUGGAGGUCUGCAGGUACCGUGCGAAUAAGGGCCGGCUAAUUCCGUGCCAGCAGCCGCGGUAAUACAGAGGGCUCGAGCGUUGUUCGGAAUUCUUGGGCGGAAAGGGUGCGUAGGCUGUUUCGUAAGUUGUUUGUGAAAGGGGGGGGCUCAACCCGAGAAGUGCAGAUGAUACUGGGAGACUAGAGUAAUGUAGGGGGAACCGGAAUUCGCGGUGUAGCAGUGAAAUGCGUAGAUAUCGAGAAGAAC
rnacentral:rRNA from 1 species